rnacentral:rRNA from 1 species
UACGUAGGGUCCGAGCGUUGUCCGGAAUUACUGGGCGUAAAGAGCUCGUAGGUGGUUUGUCGCGUUGUUCGUGAAAACUCACAGCUCAACUGUGGGCGUGCGGGCGAUACGGGCAGACUUGAGUACUGCAGGGGAGACUGGAAUUCCUGGUGUAGCGGUGGAAUGCGCAGAUAUCAGGAGGAACACCGGUGGCGAAGGCGGGUCUCUGGGCCGGAACUGACGCUGAGGAGCGAAAGCGUGGGGAGCGAACAGG